UGUUAAUAAUUUUAUUCAUUUCUACGGUUAAAAACUAGCAUCACUAACAGAAUAACCAAACAGUGACAUAUAGCAUGUCAUAAGUAUUUCAUGUUGACAAAUAGAGACCAACUUUUAACAAUAAAAAUAGAUGAAAUUUUUAAUA
rfam:Gossypium arboreum cultivar AKA8401 contig_7704_1, whole genome shotgun sequence.